GGGUACCAUCAUUCCUCAUUCUUGUUUGAUUUCAUUCCCCAGCCCUACCUGCCCCCAAUGAACGGCAUCUUCAGGAACUGGAGACUCUGAAUGGGGGCUAAAUUACAGAGCUACUCAUCCUUGGAACCACCAGGCCUAAAGCCCUUCUCACAACAGGAGUGUACUGAGAAUGUGGGGCAGCUCCAAAGACAAGCCUCUCUGGUUUCACAAGCUCCUGGAUACCAGGGUGAAAGGGGCAUGUCCAGAGAAGCCAGUGAUUAUAAGAAGCAAGAGGCUGGAGUGUGACCUCCAAAUGGAAAGAGCAAGAUGAAGGACAUAAACAUGCUCUGGGUGUGAGGUAAGUACCUGAUAUGGAAUCUACCCUGAGCUAGGAGUGGGAGACCAGGGCAAAUUAGGAAGGCUUUGCCAGGAAUUCACUGAUUUAUAGGAGUAAAAGCCUUAUAAGCCUAUCAAAUAAAGUCUAC
rnacentral:lncRNA from 1 species